rnacentral:piRNA from 1 species
CAGAGUGCAAAAUUGCGGAAGCAGAAGCU